rnacentral:rRNA from 2 species
CGCGAAGAACCUUACCUGGUCUUGACAUCCACAGAAUUUCUUAGAAAUAAGGAAGUGCCUUUUAGGAGCUGUGAGACAGGUGCUGCAUGGCUGUCGUCAGCUCGUGUUGUGAAAUGUUGGGUUAAGUCCCGCAACGAGCGCAACCCUUAUCCUUUUUUGCCAUCGGUUCGGCCGGGAACUAAAAGGAGACUGCCGGUUAUAAACCGGAGGAAGGUGGGGACGACGUCAAGUCAUCAUGGCCCUUACGACCAGGGCUACACACGUGCUACAAUGGUACAUACAAAGAGAAGCAAAUCUGCGAAGAUAAGCAAAUCCCAUAAAGUGUAUCUUAGUUCGGACUGGAGUCUGCAACUCGACUCCACGAAGUCGGAAUCGCUAGUAAUCGUGAAUCAGAAUGUCA